rnacentral:rRNA from 1 species
ACGAACGCUGGCGGCAGGCCUAACACAUGCAAGUCGAACGGGUGUAGCAAUACAUCAGUGGCGCACGGGUGAGUAACGCGUGGGAACGUGCCCUUCAGUACGGGACAACCAAGGGAAACUUUGGCUAAUACCGUAUAAUAUCUUCGGAUCAAAGAUUUAUCGCUGAAGGAUCGGCCCGCGUCUGAUUAGCUAGUUGGUGAGGUAAUGGCUCACCAAGGCGACGAUCAGUAGCUGGUCUUAGAGGAUGAUCAGCCACACUGGGACUGAGACACGGCCCAGACUCCUACGGGAGGCAGCAGUGAGGAAUCUUGGACAAUGGGCGCAAGCCUGAUCCAGCCAUGCCGCGUGAGUGAUGAAGGCCUUAGGGUUGUAAAGCUCUUUUGGCGGGGAUGAUAAUGACCGUACCCGCAGAAUAAGCCACGGCUAAAUUCGUGCCAGCCGCCGCGGUAAUU